AUUGCCUUCGGAAAGAAGAUGACGGCCAAGUUUGGAAACUUGCUGCCGAUAGAAGCUGUUGAUAAGCCACCGACUGCCAUAAAAUGGAAGUCAAGAGAGGGUGCUGUAUACACACUCAUGGCUUUGGAUUUGAACGCUACUCCGAAGGCGCAUCGAACGGACGAAACGAAGUCGGGGCAGCUCCUGUGGUUGGUCGUCAACAUCCCUGCCUCUGGAAGCGACGCGGUGAAAGUAGCCGAGGGCACCACUCUCGCAUCGUACGUCCCUCCAAGCCUCGAUCCAAUCAAGGAGGCUCCAGAGGAAUGGAAUAGCUUUGCAAAAUCAAUCGAGAUGGUACAGAGAUUUCGUCACCAGUUAAGUCAGAUUAUCUCGUCUGAUCAAGAGGAUCAUCGGAUUCUCUUCAUGGUAUUCGAACAACUGGGUGGAUAUAAGAAUUUCACGUUCCCAGUUUUAGAUGACAACCCAAACGACGCACGGCGGAACGAAUUCAACGUUCAUAAAUUCGUAGAGGAGCAAAAAUUGGAACGCCCGGUGGCGGUCAACUUCUACAUGACGCGAGAAGGACUCCCGGGGGCGGAGGAAACACCCUCGAAGAAAGGGUCAAAGGGCGCGGAGGAUGUCAAGAGCGAAAGCUUCAACCCCCACGAAGAAGAGGAGGAGGAGAAGGAGAUUGAAUACAUUUAGAGCGCCUCUCUUGCUUAAUAUAAUAUGAGCUGCUAUGCUUAAUAUAAACUGAGAAAAGAGAUUCGAUGCUCCCAUAAUGCUUAUAGUUGAUUCCAGGUCCUUUCAGCUUUCCUUAUCGUAGUUAUUACAUGACUUUCGGGGUCGGAAAAAUACCUAAUCGCCUACAGAAAAGAGAAUGAAAUUCAAAGUGUUAAAAAUCGUCGUAUUCCUCACGAAAGAACGUAUGUGGAUUUCCAUGUUGCCAAAUUUUUCUCUAACAAAUUGCGCUUUUACUAGGAGAAUUUUGGGCAUUUCUACUCUGGGAAAAAGGUCUCUUGGAUCCGGAGUCCAGACUUUCAAAAAAUUAGACAAGAAAAAAUACUCUGGAUUCGAUCGGAUUUUUGCUUGAAUCUAAAGAAAAUCCGCUUACAUUAAGAGUGUUGGCCCUCGAUUCAUGUGAAAAUCCGACUGAAUCAAGAGUAUUUUUUCUCGUCAAAUUGUUUAAAAGUCUGGACUCUAAAUCCAAGAGACUUUUUUUCCAGCACUACUGAAAAUUUUACUGAAUUUUCCUCUAACUCAUGCAAAAAUCAAGACAAAUUUUUGACAAAAAUUUCACAUAAUCAUUCCUGCACUGGUAAAAAAAAACACAUUGGAGCUAGAGUCUAGACUCUUGAAAACAUUGACAAGAAAAUGGACUCUUGAUUCAAUCAGAUACAAGCUUAAAUCAAAAUCCAAGCCUCUUAAUUUGAGCGGAUUUCCUUUCAGCGGAAAAUCAAAACAAAUUUUUGACAAAAAUUUCAUAUAUUCAUUUCUGCACUGGCAAAAAAAAACACAUUGGAUCUAGAGUCCAGACUCUUGAAAACAUUGACAAGAAAAUGGACUCUUGAUUCAAUCAGAUUUUCGCUUAAAUCAAAAGGAAAUCCGCUCAAAUUAAGAGGCUUGGUUUUUGAUUUAAGCUUGAAUCUGAUUGACUCAAGAGUCUAUUUUCUUGUCAAUGUUUUCAAGAGUCUGGACUCUAGAUCCAAUGUGUUUUUUUUUUACCAGUGUGUAAAAAACUGAAUUGUUCGAGCUAAUGUUGCAACCGUGGAAUGGAAUUACGCUCUCUCGUCUUGAGAAUGACAAAAUGGACGUAUUUAAAUAA
rnacentral:lncRNA from 1 species